AUUCUGCUCAUGCGGGGAAGGAUGAGAAGCUUCGACUAAGGUUCGACUCGAGCGCCAGCGAGAGAGCAUUGCCGCAGGCAACGACCCGUAGGGCGAAGCGCGCAGCGCUGAGUAAUCCUUCCCCCACCACCA
rnacentral:sRNA from 1 species